rnacentral:snRNA from 1 species
GUGCUCGCUUUGACAGCACAUAUACUAAAAUUGAAAUGAUACAAAGAAGAUUAGCAUGGCCCCUGUGCAAGGAUGACACGCAAAUUCGUGAAGCAUUCCAUAUUUUU